rnacentral:lncRNA from 1 species
AAAAGUCGAUCUUCUGAAAUGUCGAUCCCUUGCUGGCUGAUUUCCUCGCAAGACUCCCUAGCUGGCGACUUGGAAAAAAGUCGAUCACUUUUUUUCGAAAAAGUCGAGGAGCUUUUGUCGUGAGUAUCUUUGGAUCACAGACGGCGCCAACUGAUGGGGGUGAAACUCGACCAGUACUCCAAGACGCGCAAGCAAGCGCCAAGCGGGGAACUCCGCGGGAAACCGGACCGGAACUCAAGUGUGCAGAGCUCUGCUUCGCUAGGAAUCCUUCUUCUCCAAAUGACUUGCCUUUAAUGAGUGGGGGGUGCCCUCUAUUUAUAGGGGUUCUUAUGGGGGCAAUAUGGUCAUUUGGGC